CUGCCAACAGUGGCAACACUGAAUGUAAACACACGCAACGUGAACUCACCACUGCACAGCCCUGUACCGAACCGAGCGUCCUGUACCGAAACGGUUCAACACAAAUACAUGUAUCGUUACA